rnacentral:tRNA from 1 species
UCUAAUAUGGCAGAAUAGUGCAACGGAAUUAAGACCCGUGUAUAAAGUUAAUCCUUUUUUUAGAA